CCUACGGGUGGCAGCAGUGGGGAAUCUUGGGCAAUGGGCGCAAGCCUUACCCAGCAAUACCGCGUGAGUGAAGAAGGUCUUCGGAUUGUAAAGCUCUUUGAUCAGGGACGAACAGAUGACGGUACCUGAAGAACAAGCCCCGGCUAACUACGUGCCAGCAGCCGCGGUAAAACGUAGGGGGCGAGCGUGGUCCGGACGGACUUGGCGUAAAGGGUGCGUAGGCGGCAUAAGAAGUUUGAAGUGAAAUACCCAGAGGUUAAAUCGGGUACUGCUUUUAAGAUUGUUGAGCUUGAGUGCGGGAGAGGUUAAUGGAAUUCCGAGUGUAGCGGUGGAAUGCGUAGAUAUUAGGAGGAACACCAGAGGCGAAGGCGAUUAACUGGACCGUAACUGACGCUGAGGCACGAAAGUGUGGGUAGCAAACAGGAUUAGAUACCCGAGUAGUC
rnacentral:rRNA from 1 species